GUGGCUGUGGCGAAGUGGUUAACGCACCGGAUUGUGGCUCCGGCACUCGUGGGUUCAAGUCCCAUCAGCCACCCCA
rnacentral:tRNA from 7 species